ACUGACACAGAAAUAUCUACAAAAAGGCAGUAAAGUCAUGAGUCAUGACCACUAUGAAUGAAAAACAUUCACUUGUAGCGGGGGCCACUUUUGGAAGCUUCACCUGUGAAAGAUGUGGUGGAUGAACCCAAUUCCAAGACUUUCUGGUACAAUUGUGGAACUACUCAUUACAGAAUUCUCAUUCACUGUGAAGCUGCAAGAUGUAUAUUAGAAUAGAGACUGAUGGUGGUAUAGAAGUAAUGGUCACACAUUACAAGAAAAAGAUUGCAGAGAGAAGGUAGUAAAGGGACACGUUUUGGAGGCCAAUGUUAUCGUCAUUGGUGCUUACAUCUUGAUGAGCAAUAGCAGCAAUCUGGAAUGCUCAGGCAUCAUUGCCUUGUUUCAUUAGUGUGGCCCUCUACAAAUCUGUACAGUUAAGUAUGCUGAACAUUUUUUUAAUCUUUCAUUUCUAUCAUGAGAAAAGGAAACAUCAUAGCAAAACACAUUGGAUAUGACCUGUUCAUACAUGAUCUAAGCUCAACAGGCAUACAUGUGAGAUCCUUACAUAAAGAUGCACUUUAUAAAGUUUGCCAACUAUAGAUUUUCAAUGGCUAGUGUGGAUCAAUAAAAAGAAAUGUUCUGGUUCUACUCACUAACAGCGUUGACUGAAAUUAAUGUUUUGAGCCUAUUUCUAUUUUGAUAUAGUUACCUCUCGGGGAGAAAAUAUUUAACCAAUAUUCUCCCAAAGAGUCCUGCUGUGAACAGCUGUGAAUUAUCUUCUGGAGAAAAUUAAUCUAAGCUGGUGUUUUUCUGCAAAACAGCAAUCCAAGGGCAACAAAGAUGUUGUGUCACAUUCCUGAUACAGAAGCUACUGAGCCCUAAUGGCUGCUUAACCAAGUGAAUCCUGCUGUGUUUCCAAAUUCUGAUCACUUCACAACAUAAGGAGAGGCACAAGGAAAGUGACCAGGUGCUCCUCUGUUUAUAAAUCUAUAGUACUGUGUUAUGGAUUGAGGUUUCAGAAGAUGUCAAUGUAAAAUUGGAUUUAUUAUCCAGUUACGCUCUCUAUUAUUAAGACAAAGAUGUUAAUUGCUGUCUCUUAUUCUUCUUCAUGUUUCAAUAAUUCCAGUCUUUCUCCAGCAGGUUGACUCAGGAAUGGACACAGAGUAGACCUCAACUUGAACUCUGGAAAGAUACAAAGGUGACUUGCCCGUGCACUCAACACGUGAUUAUCGAACUAGAAUGUUUUGGUCUGGAGAUGCUGGCACAUACCUAUGUUGACUUAGAAUGAAAAAAAAAAAAAAGGUUAAUAAAGCCAAUACAGAGCUUCCAAA